CUCCUACGGGAGGCAGCAGUGGGGAAUCUUGCACAAUGGGGGCAACCCUGAUGCAGCGACGCCGCGUGAGCGAUGAAGCUUUCGGAGUCGUAACCCUUCGACCCGGAAGAAGCCCGCAAGGGUUUGACGGUACGGGUAUAAGAAGCCCCGGCUAACUACUUGCCAGCAGCCGCGGUAAUUC
rnacentral:rRNA from 1 species